GCCCUGUGAUGAGACCAAGGCGAAUAUGAACUCACUGAAUGAGAGUGGGGUGGGGUUAUGCCAUGACUGGCAGGUAAUCUUGGCAGUGCAGGGGAGGAUUCCUGCUCUGCUGUAAGGGCCUGCCAACAGUGACUUAGCUCAACCCAAAUUAUUCCUUUAAAGUCGUAGCGGAAUAAUUGCUUGGGCAAUGCUUACAGUGUGUGUGCGGUGUGUAUGCAUUUGUGUGUUGUAUUCAUGUGUGUGGAAGGCAAAAACCUCACUCUGCUCUCCUUGCUGUUUAGUGAGCCAUGAGUUUUGUCUUUGGUAAUCUGAGGGCA